rnacentral:rRNA from 1 species
GACGAACGCUGGCGGCGUGCUUAACACAUGCAAGUCGAACGGAAAGGCCCUGCUUUUGUUGGGUGCUCGAGUUGCGAACGGGUGAGUAACACGUGAGUAACCUGCCCUUGACUUUGGGAUAACUUCAGGAAACUGGGGCUAAUACCGGAUAGGAGCUCCUGCUGCAUGGUGGGGGUUGGAAAGUUUCGGCGGUUGGGGAUGGACUCGCGGCUUAUCAGCUUGUUGGUGGGGUAGUGGCUUACCAAGGCUUUGACGGGUAGCCGGCCUGAGAGGGUGACCGGCCACAUUGGGACUGAGAAACGGCCCAGACUCCUACGGGAGGCAGCAGUGGGGAAUAUUGCACAAUGGGCGGAAGCCUGAUGCAGCAACGCCGCGUGCGGGAUGACGGCCUUCGGGUUGUAAACCGCUUUCGCCUGUGACGAAGCGUGAGUGACGGUAAUGGGUAAAGAAGCACCGGCUAACUACGUG